CUCAGCGGGCACCGCCAUCUAGAACAAAUUGGCUCCAGAGGUGCUGUCCUGACCUUGCCACUCUUGUCAGAAGCCCCUCCCUUUGAAGCCAUCAGCUUCUCAGGUGGCAGCCCACUCCACCAUCCCCAGUAUCCUCCAUGACAGCCCCUUACUGAGUGGAGGGACAGACCCUCCCAACUGAAGCGCAGGCAGCAGAGGAGCUCCCAGUUUGACAGAGGGUAGGGUUGAGAGGUGCCAGGACAGCACAAAAUAUUCCCAUCCCCACCUGACUUGGAGGGGUUGCCAAGGCUUCCUGGAGCCUCAGGAGCCACCAAGUGUUCAAUGUUCCCUAAAAGACUCGCCGUUGGUGCCUGGACACCCAUGUGUCAUCAGGUGGUACCCAAGGGCCUCAUGGGCAGCCCAAUAGGCAGAUCAACAGCCUACCUCCUUCUUGUGCUGGGCAUCUCCAGCUUUAUGUGACAAAAGUGACCUGUUCAAACAGCCUGGGGGAAGGGAUUGGGAUGAGUGUUUGAGGAGAAGGUAGUCGGGAAGGUAUGUCACCAUGAACCCUCCCAGGUAUGGUUCUGUGAGUAGAAAAUCAAACCUGCUGAGUCACAUUCAUGUUUUUUCAUGGUGGGGUUUGUAGAAGCAGGUAAAACUUAAAGGAAUGGGAAACCUGGAGACGACAGGAAGGUCAGUUGGAUUUGGCCAGUCAGAGGCAAGGGUGCCAUGCUGUGGAAGCACAACCGUAACCUGUUCACAGGGGUGUCUUGUCCUUCCCAGAGAGCUCCAGAGUAGGCAGGCUUUGAACCGCUGUCCAGAACCCUCUAGAGUGGACAGUCUGUUCUCAGACUUCUCCCAGCAUCCCUACUUUGAGCCUGGGAAAGGACCCUCUCUGCCUACUGCCCUACAGAUCGUCAAGGGGCAAAGUGGGAGCAGUGCUGGGUGGAGGCUGUAGUGGCCCACAGGUGCCCCUGUGUGACUCAGCAGCUUGCGAGCCACUCAGCCCUGAGCAAGGCAAGAGCUGGUUUCAUGACCCCCUGCCAGAGCUUCAUCGUCCCCAGCCGACAGUGUGAGGGGUUCACCACCAAAGCCCUGUGGUUCUAGGGACCCUCAGAUUUCAGGAAGGACUCCAGGCACAGCCUCUGUGUUUAAACCAGGGCGGCUGAGACAGAGGCUGCCCCUAGAAAGACAUCUGCUUUCUGGUCUUUUGGCUGUUUGAGACAGUGGUGGUUUUGCAGGGACGAAUGGAAAGCUCAGGGAGAAAGUGGGUGGGAGCCCAGUGGGGCCCUGGGAAGCAGGCAGACCUCCCCUCCCACGCUGGGGAGCCGGGCUUCUGGCCUUCCCAGCAUGCCUCACUCCUGAGCCCUGCCCUCACUCCCCCGGCCCUCCCCCAAGGCUUGCUGGAGGUAAACAAGGCGGCAGCCGGGGAACUCCCUGGCAGGGCCCUCUCCGCCUGCGCUUGUGGUCAGGUGGUCUGGCCGGCAGUGAGUCAGCAUCCCAUGACCAGCCGUCAUAACAAGGGGAUCCCCAGCCCCCUUGCUGCCACCCACCUCAAUGACAUCUUAUCAGGCAGGCAAUCAAGAUAUAAGGAAACCCUUCCUGUCAAGCUAAUUAUAAUUCACAGCGAUUUGGUCACAACACGAACAAUACGCCUGUGAGCCAGUGGAAAACCUGAGAUACCUAUUCAGAAGACAGGCACCAGCGACAGAUAAGUAAAAUGAUGUGGUGAAUUGGACUCCUACUUGCUAUUGUAACUCUUGCUUGCAUUCUACCAGUUGGCUUAGCCACCCCUGCCAGGGAAGUGGCUCUUUUGUCUGUGCUGGGUUUAAGGGAAACACUCCACUACAGAAAUGCUUCCCCUAUUGACUCUGUCUGCUUUACUAGUCCCUGUAACUAGAGGAUAAUGGCAAGAAAACUCACUUAUCAACAUUUCCCCAAUCAUAUCCAAAGGAGAACAUUUAAAAGAUGCUGGAUGUGCCAUCAACACCCCCAGCUGGCCACUGGCCCUCCUCUUGCAUCCUCCUGAAACUGCCAGUUCCAAUGAACACGGUGGAUGGAGCUUGUAUGAUAACGAAUACUUUCUGCUGCACCAGGAUCAAUGCAACAGGACAGGCUUCAACAAUUUCAAGUAAAGCUCAUGACGGCUCAAGGAAUUCAACCCAUUCCAGUAGAGGGCAGCCCAGAUCCCAACAGGUCCUUGGAGAAGAGUCAGUGAGGGACUUACGCACUGCUAGGCUAGGCUAGGGUCUGUGGCUCCUGUCCAGCAGGAAGAAGUUUUACAAGAGAUCUUUGCCCUUUAAAGUAAGAAGUAGAUGGGCCCCAGGCCAAGCAGCUGGUGCUUGUCAGGCUGAGCAAAUAAGAGCUUGUCUCUUACUGACAGAUCAAGAAAAAGUUAACAGCAAGAGCAGAGAGAAACUAAGCUCUGCUGAAGUAAAAAAAUAAAGAUGACCGCAUCAUUCAUUCUUUGAAGCCAAGGAGCCCUCCCCACCUGCACACGCAGAAAAGCUCAGAGAAGAGAAGAGUUCCUCAGGAGUCAAAAAGGGAAGGGGGCACUACCCUGGGACAUGUUUCACCAACCUUCCAGAGGCCCUGGUGCUGGGACCCAUCUUGGUUAAAGGUGUCCAUGCACACUGGGGAGGGCCUUGAGGAGACAAGUUAUGGGCAGUGAGCCAGGCGGCUGGCCACAGGGAGCAAAGAAAACUGACCCCAUAUAAAUGAUCAAACCACCCCUUUGGUGCACUCCUCACUAGCAAAGACAUCCACACUCUUCUCUGAGUAUGUAGCUCUGCUUUGUUCUGUCCUAAAGAAACUGCUUCUUGUAUGCUCUCUCAUGCAUAUGAGGUUCUAAUAAACUCAGUGCUUGUUUUAUAA